rnacentral:rRNA from 1 species
GUAAUGCUUAGGAAUCUGCCAUUUAGUGGGGGACAACAUUCCGAAAGGAAUGCUAAUACCGCAUACGUCCUACGGGAGAAAGCAGGGGAUCUUCGGACCUUGCGCUAAAUGAUGAGCCUAAGUCGGAUUAGCUAGUUGGUGGGGUAAAGGCCUACCAAGGCGACGAUCUGUAGCGGGUCUGAGAGGAUGAUCCGCCACACUGGGACUGAGACACGGCCCAGACUCCUACGGGAGGCAGCAGUGGGGAAUAUUGGACAAUGGGCGCAAGCCUGAUCCAGCCAUGCCGCGUGUGUGAAGAAGGCCUUUUGGUUGUAAAGCACUUUAAGCGAGGAGGAGGCUACCUAGACUAAUACUCUAGGAUAGUGGACGUUACUCGCAGAAUAAGCACCGGCUAACUCUGUGCCAGCAGCCGCGGUAAUACAGAGGGUGCGAGCGUUAAUCGGAUUUACUGGGCGUAAAGCGUGCGUAGGCGGCUUUUUAAGUCGGAUGUGAAAUCCCCGAGCUUAACUUGGGAAUUGCAUUCGAUACUGGGGAGCUAGAGUAUGGGAGAGGAUGGUAGAAUUCCAGGUGUAGCGGUGAAAUGCGUAGAGAUCUGGAGGAAUACCGAUGGCGAAGGCAGCCAUCUGGCCUAAUACUGACGCUGAGGUACGAAAGCAUGGGGAGCAAACAGGAUUAGAUACCCUGGUAGUCCAUGCCGUAAACGAUGUCUACUAGCCGUUGGGGCCUUUGAGGCUUUAGUGGCGCAGCUAACGCGAUAAGU